rnacentral:rRNA from 1 species
AGUGAACGCUGGCGGUAGGCCUAACACAUGCAAGUCGAACGGCAGCACAGUAAGAGCUUGCUCUUACGGGUGGCGAGUGGCGGACGGGUGAGGAAUACAUCGGAAUCUACUUUUUCGUGGGGGAUAACGUAGGGAAACUUACUCUAAUACCGCAUACGACCUACGGGUGAAAGCAGGGGAUCUUCUGACCUUGCGCGAUUGAAUUAGCCGAUGUCGGAUUAGCUAGUUGGCGGGGUAAAGGCCCACCAAGGCGACGAUCCGUAGCUGGUCUGAGAGGAUGAUCAGCCACACUGGAACUGAGCCACGGUCCAGACUCCUACGGGAGGCAGCAGUGGGGAAUAUUGGACAAUGGGCGCAAGCCUGAUCCAGCCAUACCGCGUGGGUGAAGAAGGCCUUCGGGUUGUAAAGCCCUUUUGUUGGGAAAGAAAAGCAGCAGGUUAAUACCCCGCUGUUCUGACGGUACCCAAAGAAUAAGCACCGGCUAACUUCGUG